UGUGGAUCUCUGAAACGUUGUUCCGAUGGAAACAAUUGUUUAUCCUGUGGCCUAUCCAUCGGCGUCAUCCACUUCUUCAACUCUGGAUUCCGUGCCAUGUAAGACGGAUAAUCGUGGACCUCAUCGACUUCUCUGCGGUCGCGCUCAACAGGAUGCUGUUUCAAUACUGCGUCCACAGAAGAAAUCUGAAUCGGAAGUUGCAGGGAAUCGUCACCCCCACGAACUUGACUAGAGCCGGAAUUAGACACUGUACUGACCGAUGACGAAGACGAGGACGAACAGGUUCAUCCGCGACGGAAGCUGCUCUCGGGAGAUAUUGACGAAUCAUCUCCUGUACUACACUACGCACAAAUUCUUCAUCACGCUGAUCGGAUCCCUUUUUAAUCGGGGCUAACUGGACUGGUGUAGUUUCCUUAA